rnacentral:tRNA from 1 species
GGUUGUGGCUCAGAAGUAGAGUGAUUGCCUAGCAUGCGUGAGGCACUGGGUUCGAUCCUCAGCACCA